AAGUCGUAACAAGGUUUCCGGAGGUGAACCUGCGGAAGGAUCAUUAACACGUAUCCAAACGUUAAAACCCCCCCCGUGAAUAAAUCAUAGCCCGGAAAGUUGUAGUGAUUCAGAGACCUCUGGCUACGUGCAAACAUUUGAACAGUUACAAUCGAGCGGUAGUUCUAUAGGCAAUGUUUCCCCAAGCAGUCAGUGUCGGAAAGUGUCAUUGAUUGUGCAAGGAUAGCGCUUCUACGAUUCCUGUAGACCGUACACUCGGGCAGGAGCUUUGCCAAAGGGUCCCCAUGCCCCCUAAUAACCCCACAGUUUAAUGUGAAGCUCAAUGUAAUACAUUGGGUAAAAAAACCGAACAACUGUUAACAAUGGAUAUCUUGGUUCUC
rnacentral:misc_RNA from 1 species